CAAUCAGGCCUCGGCCCUAAACAUGCAAGUCGAGCGGAUGAGGGAGCUUGCUCCUGGAUUCAGCGGCGGACGGGUGAGUAAUGCCUAGGAAUCUGCCUGGUAGUGAGGGAUAACGUCCGGAAACGGGCGCUAAUACCGCAUACGUCCUGAGGGAGAAAGUGGGGGAUCUUCGGACCUCACGCUAUCAGAUGAGCCUAGGUCGGAUUAUCUAGUUGGUGGGGUAAAGGCCUACCAAGGCGACGAUCCGUAACUGGUCUGAGAGGAUGAUCACUCACACUGGAACUGAGACACGGUCCAGACUCCUACGGGAGGCAGCUGUGGGGAAUAUUGGACAAUGGGCGAAAGCCUGAUCCAGCCAUGCCGCGUGUGUGAAGAAGGUCUUCGGAUUGUAAAGCACUUUAAGUUGGGAGGAAGGGCAGUAAGUUAAUACCUUGCUGUUUUGACGUUACCAACAGAAUAAGCACCGGCUAACUUCGUGCCAGCAGCCGCGGUAAUACGAAGGGUGCAAGCGUUAAUCGGAAUUACUGGGCGUAAAGCGCGCGUAGGUGGUUCAGCAAGUUGGAUGUGAAAUCCCCGGGCUCAACCUGGGAACUGCAUCCAAAACUACUGAGCUAGAGUACGGUAGAGGGUGGUGGAAUUUCCUGUGUAGCGGUGAAUGCGUAAAUAUAGGAAGGAACACCAGUGGCGAAGGCGACCACCUGGACUGAUACCUGACACUGAGGUGCGAAAGCGUG
rnacentral:rRNA from 1 species